rnacentral:rRNA from 1 species
GACGAACGCUGGCGGCGUGCCUAAUACAUGCAAGUCGAACGCAGUGGGGACGGGUGCGUAAAACGUGGGUAACCUCCCAUCAGAGGGGAUAACACUUGGAAAAAGGUGCUAAACCGAUAUUGAAGGAUGGAACCGCGGUGCAUUAGCUAGUUGGUGAGGGAACGGCUCACCAAGGCCACGAGGCAUAGCCGACCUGAGAGGGUGACCGGCCACACUGGGACUGAGCCACGGCCCAGACUCCUACGGGAGGCAGCAGUAGGGAAUAUUCGGCAAUGGACGAAAGUCUGACCGAGCAACGCCGCGUGAGUGAAGAAGGUUUUCGGAUCGUAAAACUCUGUUGUUAGAGAGGCGGUAUCUAACCAGAAAGCCACGGCUAACUACGUGCCAGCCGCCGCGGUAAUAC